GAGAACUCGGGGAUUAGAAAAUGUUUAAAUGCAGUAAAUGGAUUACCAUAAAUUUUGCAAGGGUUAAGUUUUGCAAGACUUUGCACUAAUCUAACGUCGCUGCCUAUCAGCAGAGGGUGAACUGGCCUUCGCCGAACGGAGGAAUUAUCUCUUCCAGCCUUUCUGGCUUCGAUUCACUCCGUUACCGACUUGGUGUCGACCCUUCUUUCUGUUCAUGGCGCAGUUGACGGCACAGUCGCUCAAGAGCUGUGGAAAGGAAACUCCCGCCAACCGGAAGUACCUAAAAUUCCCUUCUGGAAAUCUUGCUAUCUCGAUCGGAAAGCGUGGGAUCUGCCUCUUUGCAACAUCUCAGUGGCCACUUUACUGAAGUCUGAACGUUUUCCCGAAUGAUGAAGUUAAAAAGGCCCGCCCUCUCGCUCAGUCGGAACCAUAAGCCGACAUCUGGUUGAAUGCGCUGCUUUCAGCCCAUCUCGGUGUAUCCCAACGUGAAAACGACCCGCGGCAGUAACGUCCGCACGACACUCCCGAACUCGCAUUGCCUCGCAUUACCGCGAGACUCGGCGCCGGGACAAACCGCCACAAAGACGACACAUACGCCAACAGAAGAGAGCGGAACGUCGUCCGCUGCCGCAGCCGGGCUACCGCCGCCACUUCUGGUUGCACAGGUUUCCCCCUCCGCACCACCACCAACCAACCACAAAUCGCCUGGUGCACCGCGCCCUGCAACGCCAGCGGCAAAUAUCCAUCCAAAAAUAAUGUUUAAGAGCAGAUGGUGGAUAAUGGUAUAACCGGAGAUAGUCCGUAACGCCGGGCGCUAACGGACAAAAAACUGUUAACGUAGCAUGACGAUAACGGACCUAAAACAGUUAGCGUAUCAUAAUGCGCCGCACGUGAUUUCCAAGGCGAGAACCGACUGGACAACUGGAAAUGAAGUACACAUGUAUUUGCGGAAAUAUUCGUGGCGUUCAUGGCGAAUCUCAAGGAAAACUGUAUCGGCAAAAUUUUCUGAAUGAUGUUGCCGAUCCCGUUGUUAACAGGAAAGCAUGAUUCCCACGGGAGUUGUUAAUGUUGAGACGUUAAAGAAAGCCGGCGCAGCGGGAUUACAAAUCGACGUCAGCCCUAAUUGCUGGUAAAACUCCGGCUUCUCUGCUUUUCGGUUACCUUCCUGCGGAUGUCGCGGUUGCCUUACCGGCCUAAUUACGACCAACAGGAUCUGUCAACGUCCCUAAUUAUGCUCGACAUUCGGCGCGCGCAGAUGUCCUGGCGGCAUACGGAAUUAAAGGUCAACAUCAAAGUAGCCAGUGUGUGUUCAGCGUUUCCGCUUAAUUCUAAUACAUUGCAGUGUGUUUUACACGCGCACUGCGUGGAACUUCCAAACUAGCUGGUUUGGCAUGCUUAACACAGUACGCUUAAUGACUGCUAUAAUCCGAAAUCCUGACAAAAACAUGAAACCAGGAUAGCGCGGUUAGACAGAAUGGACACAGCUUGACAUGAGCAUAGCGAGGCGGAAAUGCAUGGAUGAUUCGUUGGAGGAAAUGUCAACAGGAAAAGGUGCAGACAGGAAGAAUUACGUCGCUUGAAUUAAUAUUCAAGACCUUUAUACAUUCCAAUGGGAUGAUGACGUGACAAUUUAUUGCUGGUAUACAUAUAAAUAAUUGUUACACGUGCGUAUUGCAUAAUAAUGGUCUGUAAUAAUUGGAUUACUGGAAAAUAGUAGUUGUUAUAAUAAUGGACUACAGGAUUCAUUGGAUAGUUCAUUGUUUUUGUCCCAUGAGUUUUCCGACUAAGUCUAAAAGGUUAUGAUUUUGUCCUAAAUACAGGCUAUUCAUGAUUCUUCGAUUUAUCGCAUAUUUUAUUCACUUCAGUUCUAAGUGCAUGUUUCCAUAUUUUGGUCACCCUUCCCACGUGGCACGUUGAAUAACUACGGGCUACACAACCUGUUCACUGUUGUACUCUCAGUCUGUAGAUACCAGAGUAUAAUAAAUCCGAAUUGUUGAAAUUUGUACGCAUGGAAAAAAGUUGCUUUGCAUUGCAUCGGUCGAGUUUCUGCAAACCGUUUUAUUUUUGUACGGUUUCCUUGUGAAAUCUGUUGACACUAUGUUUGUUGAAAUUUUGUUUCUUAGAAAAUUUCACCAGGCGCAUAAGGCGUGGCUGGCUGGUGUAGCGCUGGGAGGGUGUGGCAUCCACGUGGAAAUUUUGAUUAUAUUAUAUUGAUGGAAGAAUUCGUGCUCAUUUCGUACAGAACUCACUGAAUUUACAGAAUAAUCGAUGAUAUAUUAUAAAGGUCACAAAUGUCGGUUUUACUGUGG